rnacentral:rRNA from 1 species
AGCUCGUGUCGUGACGAUGUGGUUAAGUCCGCAACAGCGCAACCCUUUCCUUAUUUGCCAGCGGGUUAAGCCGGGAACUUUAAGGAUACUGCCAGUGACAAACUGGAGGAAGGCGGGGACGACGUCAAGUCAUCAUGGCCCUUACGACCAGGGCUACACACGUGCUACAAUGGUCGGUACAAAGGGUUGCUACCUAGCGAUAGGAUGCUAAUCUCAAAAAGCCGAUCGUAGUCCGGAUUGGAGUCUGCAACUCGACUCCAUGAAGUCGGAAUCGCUAGUAAUCGCGGAUCAGAAUGCCGCGGUGAAUACGUUCCCGGGCCUU